UACGUAGGGGGCAAGCGUUGUCCGGAAUCAUUGGGCGUAAAGCGCGUGUAGGCGGCUCGGUAAGUCUGCUAUGAAAGUCCAGGGCUCAACCCUGGGAUGCCGGUGGAUACUGUCGAGCUCGAGUCCGGAAGAGGCGAGUGGAAUUCCUGGUGUAGCGGUGAAAUGCGCAGAUAUCAGGAGGAACACCAAUGGCGAAGGCAGCUCGCUGGGACGUGACUGACGCUGAGACGCGAAAGCGUGGGGAGCAAACAGG
rnacentral:rRNA from 1 species